GGGACCCGCACAAGCGGUGGAUGAUGUGGAUUAAUUCGAUGCAACGCGAAAAACCUUACCUACCCUUGACAUGUCCGGAAUCCCGAAGAGAUUUGGGAGUGCUCGCAAGAGAACCGGAACACAGGUGCUGCAUGGCUGUCGUCAGCUCGUGUCGUGAGAUGUUGGGUUAAGUCCCGCAACGAGCGCAACCCUUGUCAUUAGUUGCCAUCAUUUGGUUUGGGCACUCUAAUGAGACUGCCGGUGACAACCGGAGGAAGGUGGGGAUGACGUCAAGUCCUCAUGGCCCUUAUGGGUAGGGCUUCACACGUCAUACAAUGGUCGGUACAGAGGGUUGCCAAGCCGCGAGGCGGAGCCAAUCCCACAAAGCCGAUCGUAGUCCGGAUUGUUCUCUGCAACUCGAGAGCAUGAAGUCGGAAUCGCUAGUAAUCGCAGGUCAGCAUACUGCGGUGAAUACGUUCCCGGGUCUU
rnacentral:rRNA from 1 species